AGCAGCCGCGGUAAUUCCAGCUCCAAUAGCGUAUAUUAAAGUUGUUGCAGUUAAAAAGCUCGUAGUUGAAUUUCGGGGUUCUACCGUUGGUCGGGCAGUAGUCUGUACUGGCGCGUGGAAUUUCUACCUUCUGGGGAACCAUCAUGUUAUUUAUUUAGCGUGGUGGGAAACCAGAACCUUUACCUUGAAAAAAUUAGAGUGUUCAAAGCAGGCUUACGUCUGAAUACAUUAGCAUGGAAUAAUAAAAUAGGACGGUGGUCCUGUUUUGUUGGUUUCUGAAUCACCGUAAUGAUUAAUAGGGAUAGUUGGGGGCAUUAGUAUUCAAUUGUCAGAGGUGAAAUUCUUGGAUUUAUUGAAGACUAACUUCUGCGAAAGCAUUUGCCAAGGAUGUUUUCAUUAAUCAAGAACGAAAGUUAGGGGAUCGAAGACGAUCAGAUACCGUCGUAGUCUUAACCAUAAACUAUGCCGACUAGGGAUCGGACGAUAGUUAAUUUUUCUUGACUCGUUCGGCGCCUUGCGG
rnacentral:rRNA from 1 species